rnacentral:rRNA from 1 species
CAGCUGAUCCAGCAUGCCGCGUGAGUGAUGAAGGCCUUAGGGUUGUAAAGCUCUUCAUCCGGGAUGAUAAUGACGGUACCUGGAGAAUAAGCUCCGGCUAACUCCGUGCCAGCAGCCGCGGUAAUACGGAGGGAGCUAGCGUUGUUCGGAAUUACUGGGCGUAAAGCGCACGUAAGCGGUUACUCAAGUCAGAGGUGAAAGCCCGGGGCUCAACCCCGGAACUGCCUUUGAAACUAGGUAACUAGAAUCCUGGAGAGGUGAGUGGAAUUCCGAGUGUAGAGGUGAAAUUCAUAUAUAUUCGGAAGAACACCAUUGGCGAAGGCGGCUCACUGGACCGGUAUUGACGCUGAGGUGCGAAAGCGUGGGGAGCAAACAGGAUUAAAUACCCUGGUAGUCCACGCCGUAAACGAUGAUGACUAGCUGUCCGGGUUCAUGGAAUUUGGGUGGCGCAGCUAACGCAUUAAGUUAUCCGCCUGGGAAGUACGGUCGCAAAAUUAAAACUCU